AGGUACUUAGUGACUCUCAA
rnacentral:miRNA from 6 species